CAUUUGUAUUUCCUCUUGGGUGAAAUGCCCAUUUUAAAAUUGGAUUGACUCGUUCCUUUACUUUCCGCCUAGGGGAAAGUCCCCGGACCUCCGGCAGAGAGUGCCACGUGCGCGUGCACGUUAAAAUUGGAUUGCUUGCUCUUUUAUUGUUGAGUUAUAUGAUCUCUUUGUAUAGCAUGGAAAUGCUAUAUAUGCUAUAUUGGAUAUGUGGUUUCCAAAU
rnacentral:sRNA from 1 species